GUACCAGCUUAGCCUCUCCCAAACUGAAGGUUUAGGAAAGGAGUGAGGGAACUGGGCAUCUUUAGAAGCGGUGGAUAAAAAGAUACAGGAAUAGGGAGUCAAGAACAGGGGUGAAAGGAUAUGAAGCCAGGAAGACUUCGGAGAGAGAAAGAGAUCAGAGGCUAUUGUCACAUCCAGAUCAAGAUGGCAGAGGGAUCAUACUGAGAAAGCUGCUUCUUCUUUCCAAGCACAGCUUGGUGGAAGACUGGAAGUUGGCUCAUUCAAUACUUCUCAAACUUCUGUUCAUCGAUGGUAGACUACAUUUCCCAAUUCCCCUCGCGUCUAGAUUCUCUGUGUGAUCGAGUUUCUGCCAAGCAGAGAUCUGAAAGGGUUCCCAGCUCUUAUGGACCACAUAGUCCUUACCUGACAAAGUGCAAGAGAACUAAAGAAGGUGCCUCCUUAAAUUUACAGCUGCAUGAUUCUUUUUAGAAA